rnacentral:rRNA from 1 species
CUUUGCCGGCGAGCGGCGGACGGGUGAGUAAUGUCUGGGAAACUGCCUGAUGGAGGGGGAUAACUACUGGAAACGGUAGCUAAUACCGCAUGACCUCGAAAGAGCAAAGUGGGGGAUCUUCGGACCUCACGCCAUCGGAUGUGCCCAGAUGGGAUUAGCUAGUAGGUGAGGUAAUGGCUCACCUAGGCGACGAUCCCUAGCUGGUCUGAGAGGAUGACCAGCCACACUGGAACUGAGACACGGUCCAGACUCCUACGGGAGGCAGCAGUGGGGAAUAUUGCACAAUGGGCGCAAGCCUGAUGCAGCCAUGCCGCGUGUGUGAAGAAGGCCUUAGGGUUGUAAAGCACUUUCAGCGAGGAGGAAGGCAUCAUACUUAAUACGUGUGGUGAUUGACGUUACUCGCAGAAGAGCACCGGCUAACUCCGUGCCAGCAGCCGCGGUAAUACGGAGGGUGCAAGCGUUAAUCGGAAUUACUGGGCGUAAAGCGCAC